GCAGGACUAUACUGAGCAUGUGCAUUACGGGUUCUGCAUCAUCAUAACGGCUGCAGAUGUCAGGUGAUUGACAGGCUGCAGCCGUUUAGCGGGGAGGAAGCAGCAAUAGCCUCCGUUUCCAAAAACAUUCCCAACUGAGAUUUCCUGGUCUCUUGGUAGGAGCUGUGGUGGCCUGCUUGCAUGACCCGCAGCCAGCCGACUGAGUCGCAGGAGGAAAAGCACAGGAUCUUAUGCAGUGCCUGCUGUAAAGAUGGCAGCUAUAUGUAUAGCCACGACUACACAGUGCAGAGGCUGCAUAUAUCCCUUCAUUAAAUGCUUUAUGCCUGACUCAGAUAACGUCUCCAUUAUUGCCAGCACAGUCCUCUGACAAAAGGUAAGAGGUGGACGACACAUGCAAUGUAAUACAGCCCUGCAGAGAUGUGACAAAUCAAUUAUACCGCAUGUGAUGCUAAAUCACAAGAAAGGUGUUUGAGACGUGAGUGUGCAUACAUCAGAGGCAUUAUAUAUAAGCAGGAAUGCAUUCAUAGCUCAUGCUGCCAUAAGCACCAGUGAACAAAUAAAUCAACAAGUACAUGCCCCAAUGGAACACAAUUUCAUGGGCCACUUUG